rnacentral:pre_miRNA from 1 species
GGAUCCUCUCCGGUGAAAUUCUCUCAAUUUUUCUCCAGUGGACAUUUGUGGCGGUUUUGAACCGCCACAAAAUUUUUCCAGCUGCCACAAAAUACUGCUGAAAAAAAUUGACAGACUUUGUGGCAGCUGGAAACAUUUUGUGGCGGUCCAAAACCGCCACAAAUGUCCACUGGAGAAAACUUGAGAGGAUUUCACUGGAGAGGAUCC